CACCGAACGGCCAAAUUGAAAUUUAUUUGCCUCUCCAAAUUACUAUCAUUUACAUCUGAUGUCUGUCAUUCUCACUACUUAUUUUGCAUCUUUCUUGCUCUGAUAUUCUCUGUUUGAGUGAGGCUAAUGAGCUGGAUGACACGGAGAAGAAGUGGUUGACAGAGAGGAUGAAACUGCUGCUUUGUGGAGAUUCAGGCCAAAUUCAAGAAGAUACGAGUUCUGCGAAGGUUGUUCGGGAAUGAAAAUGUCUUGAUAGUAUUCCUGGUAGACAUGGUGGGAAUUCCCAUGGUAUUUUCAUAAGUCUCUGUGUUUAUAAAACAUUGUUUGAUUCUCCAGUAAGGAGAUGUCAUUUUCUUUUAUUCUUUUUCGUCUUAUUAUUUUCCUGUUGAUUGCAAGAGGAAAUGGAUACAAAGUUGACAAUCUAUUCUUGUUUCAGUGCUUCCGAGCACGUAGAAUGAAAGAAAAAUUAAAAGAGAAAUAUAAUACAGCAAGUUUAAAUUCUUCUAUCACCAACAGAACAUAAAGCUGCCAUGUGAAUUUUUGUUCCUUGUAUGGAAUUUCAUCCCACUGAAUAGAAUUCUCUCAUUAUUGUCUUUCAUUUUUUUGAAGUUCUCCUGCAUUGUAUGUGCUCGGAAACUUACUUGUUUCACCACAUCAGAAAUUGUUUACAGAGGGGGUCACCUAAGAUUACUCUUUGACUUUAUUGCAUCAUGAAAUACUAACCCAAUAGCAUCCAUCAUUUUCCUAAAAUGAUUUAUUCUUUUCUUUGAUUAUUAUUUAUGAUUUUUUCAUGCAAGUUUUGGUAUGUUGUAGGAAAUUGUAUCAUGUUUUGUGUGCUUUUAUUUAUAACUUCACAUUAUAGCCAAGUCUGUUUUGUUUUAUAUUUCCAAGCACACAGAAUGAAAAAAUUUCAGUGAGAAACAUGUAGCAAGUUUAUAUUCUGCUAGCAUUAAAAAAUAAGAAAAAGAAAAAGAAAAAGAAAAGGCUGCUGUAUUUUUUGUUCCUUUCAUGGAAUUCCAUCCCCCACUCGAUGUGCUAUAUGUUCUAUUAAUGGAGUUACUGUCUGAUGAAAAUUUACAAUCACUCUUUCUUGCUUUUUUUUUGGUUGUUGUGCAUUUGAAAUUGAAUGGAGUUACUUUUUGGACUGGAAGUACUUGAUCUAAUACACCAUCUAGUAUGUUUGAUCACUCAUUAUUGGCCUUAUAGUUUUCAUCAUUUUUCCAUGUUAUUGUCCAUCUUGUGCUUGUUUAUUACUUAAUAAAGCAAAUGAUUUUAAAAAUUUUCACCAAAAUUGUUUUCUUUUUUCAAAAUUCCCUAUUUCCCAUUUUAUGCUUUGCUUAUUUCUGGCUAUUAAUUGAACAGAGCGGAACUGAUAGCAAAUGAUUCAUAUAGCCAACCCCGACUGAUUUGGGACUAAGGCUUAGUUGUUGUAUAUAUCUUUUACCAUGACAAUUAUUCGUGUUUUUUUACAAUGCAAUUUUCUGUGCAUUUGGAUUUGUGUUCAAAUGAUCCAUUUUUAAGUGUUGUUGCUGGAGGUAUACAUUAAUGAUUCUAAUUCUGGAGAAUGCCAUUUCAUUAAAAGCGACUGUUAAAGGUACCAAGUUCCAUUUUCUCACAUUUUUAUUACAAUUUAUUUAAAAAUUCUGUUAACUGGUUGUUCCUUUUCUCAUCUGAUAUGGGAACUGAUAGUCACCAUGUUACUUUAUGGUGGUGAUGAUACAAAUGUACUUCUAAUAUCAUGAACUUAAUGGUUUAUUUGUUACAGGUUGGUGGUUAAGUUUAGGAGGUAUGGCAGGAAGCUGCAUUGACUGAAAAGCAUGGUGGGGGUUUACUUGGAGUCAUUAAAGAAAUCAUUUAAUGGUAGAUUCUGAACUCACAGAGAGCUGUCUCCGAGGCUUGGAUAUAACAUUCAGAUUACAAGUGCAUUAACUCUUCUAGAAAGUCAACAACCACGUGCUUGGUUUCAAUCUACACUACAUAUUUACAUUCAGAAUUCUAAAUUAGAAUUUUCACUAAUAUUAGGCUGGUUUCAGUAAUUAAAUGAACUUAUUCCAUUACAUUUGAAAUCUUGUAUUGCAUGCAAAGAAAUCAACUGGUUCUAUAAAUUGAUGGAGAUUGAAGGUCUGACAAUGGAAACAGAAAAACAUUUUGGGUUGUUGAA